rnacentral:rRNA from 1 species
UCGACCUACGGGAGGCAGCAGUAGGGAAUUUUCGUCAAUGGGCGCAAGCCUGAACGAGCAAUGCCGCGUGAACGAGGAAGGUCCUCGGAUCGUAAAGUUCUGUUGAAGGGGAAAAAGAGGGGAGAAAGGAAAUGGUCUCCGAUUGAUAUUACCCUUCGAGGAAGUCACGGCUAACUACGUGCCAGCAGCCGCGGUAAUACGUAGGUGGCGAGCGUUAUCCGGAAUGAUUGGGCGUAAAGGGUGCGUAGGCGGCAUGCUAAGUCUGGAGUGAAAGGUACAG